rnacentral:tRNA from 1 species
GGGGGAGUAGUUCAAUCGGUUAGAGCACUUGCCUGUCACGCAAGAAGUUGCGGGUUCGAGUCCCGUCUCUCCCG